rnacentral:sRNA from 1 species
UGACCGCCCUUUCCUGCCGGAAAGGUGCUAAGGCCAUACGGACAGCCGGGUCAAAUGCCGA